UACGUAGGGGGCGAGCGUUGUCCGGAGUUACUGGGCGUAAAGCGCACGCAGGCGGUCCGUUAAGUUUGGAGUGACAGUUGGUGGCUCAACCACCAAAGUGCUUUGAAACUGGCAGACUUGAGGGCUUCAGAGGGACACGGAAUCCGGGUGGAGUGGUGAAAUGCGUAGAGAUCCGGAGGAACACCGAAGGCGAAGGCAGUGUCCUGGGGAGUACCUGACGCUCAGGUGCGAAAGCCAGGGGAGCGAACGGG
rnacentral:rRNA from 1 species